GAUUGUGAAAGUGAGACCUGUCGCAUCAUUGAUCAGGAUUGAUUCCACUGAUCUGACUGACUAGACAGGUACCUCCUUCCCCCCUCACUGCCCCAGGUGCUCCCCUCCUGAAGGUGCACUCUGGGUCAAAAAGAACGAUCAUUCCUGAUACAGUAAUACCUCUUACUCAGGCAAGGGCAUAAGAAUAGCAGCUCCACUACUAGAAAUUCAAAACAAGCUCUCAAGGUCUGAUAACAGAUUAUAUCUGUUCACCUGUAGAAUAUUUCAAAUGCUUCCAAAUUCUUGGUAACAAUUAACACAAUUGUUGUAAAUAUCUGCAUGCUGGAUUUU
ensembl:misc_RNA 7SK 7SK RNA